UGUGCCUCUUGAAUAACCAGUUGCUGUUAUUAGUAUAUUUGCAUAUGGUUCAGACAGGGGCAUAUAUCGAAUGGAAUCUUUUGAGGGAAGGGGUUGUCUUCUGUUAAUCCCUUCUUAGAUUGGUUCGAACAGUA